rnacentral:rRNA from 1 species
AUUGAACGCUGGCGGAAUGCUUUACACAUGCAAGUCGAACGGCAGCACGGACUUCGGUCUGGUGGCGAGUGGCGAACGGGUGAGUAAUACAUCGGAACGUGCCCAGUCGUGGGGGAUAACGUAGCGAAAGCUACGCUAAUACCGCAUACGAUCUAAGGAUGAAAGCGGGGGAUCGCAAGACCUCGCGCGAUUGGAGCGGCCGAUGGCAGAUUAGGUAGUUGGUAGGGUAAAGGCCUACCAAGCCGACGAUCUGUAGCUGGUCUGAGAGGAUGAUCAGCCACACUGGGACUGAGACACGGCCCAGACUCCUGCGGGAGGCAGCAGUGGGGGAUUUUGGACAAUGGGCGCAAGCCUGAUCCAGCCAUUCCGCGUGCAGGAUGAAGGCCUUCGGGUUGUAAAGGACUUUUGUCAGGGAGGAAAUCCCUAGUGCUAAUAACACUGGGGGAUGACAGUACCUGAAGAAUAAGCACCGGCUAACUACGUGCCAGCCGCCGCCGUAA